CCAAAACCCUUUAUGAAAACCCUCAUUUGUAGGUCUUAUUUUCAAGCCCCAAACUCUAAAUACAAACCUCUAACUCCAAAAAAACGGGGAUUCUAGGUCUUAUUUUUAUCAGAACAACGACUUUUAGGGCUUAUUUUUUUUAGAACAGCAACUUUUAGGUCUUAUUUUCAUUAGAAGAACAACUUUUAGGGCUUUUAUUAGAACAACUUUUAGGUCUUAUUUUUAUGAGAAGGACAAUUUUUAGGUCUUAUUUUUAUUAGAACAGCAACUUUUAGGGCUUAUUUUUAUUAGAACAACAACUUUUAGGUCUUAUUUUUAUUAGAACAAGAACUUUUAGGGCUUAUUUUUAUUAGAACAACACCUUUUAGGUCUUAUUUUUAUUAGAAGAACAAUUUUUAGGUCUUAUUUUUAUUAGAACAAUGACUUUUAGGUCUUAUUUUUCUUAGAA